GGGCGAGAGGGGCGAGAGCGGCGAGAGCGGCGUCGCAGCCGCGGGCUAGGGGCGAAGAGUACAGCUGCCGGCCCGGAUCCCGGCGGGAGAGUGAGAAGGAAGAGGAGGAGGUGGUGGCCGGGAGGAAUGGAAGCUUCGGCGCUGGUCAGUUGUGACCGAAACUCCGCCGGCUUGGGCCUGGGAGGAGACAGAGGGGGUGGGGUCUCUGUCCUCCCUCCACGGCAAGUCGGGGCGAGAGUGGGCCGCGAAGCGCUGGGGGCCGCGUGGGGCCGGCCCGACACCUACCUGCGGGUCCCGGGCAGCCGCCCUAGAGCGAGGCCUAGUGCAUCGCCGCCGCCUCCAAGCCUCCACGUCGCGCCGAGGCUGCUGCUCCGCGGCCGCCGCCGCCCGGAGCCCGGCUGGGGUGAGAGGCGGCAGCGGCGGCUCCCUCACGUCUCUCCCGGGUGUCCUGUCAGCCAGCAGUUUCCCCCGAGUCCGCAGCGCCGCCUCCGCCGCUGCUGCCACCGCCUCUCCCACAUCCCCGGCCUCCAGAGGAGCCGCCGCCGCCGCCGCCGCCGCCGCGCCGCGACCACUACCCCUAGCGACUCUGCUCCCUGCUCUACUGCUUCUCCUCACCCCGCCCGCCCGCCUCGGUCUGGCUAGGUCCGGGGAGACAGUGCCAGAGGCCGCCGCGAGGCCGCCGCAGCCCCCAGCCCACAAUCCACCGCGCGGCUCCACCGGGGCGGGAGGCCGCGGCCGGGGCCGGGGGGAGCGCUUGCCGUCUCGGGAGAGGGCCGGACCUGGAGCGGGCGCCGCCGGCGUUACCCCGGAGCGGGGAAUACCCCGCGCGGCCGCUCAGCGCCUCCUCUAAUCUUUAAUAACUUCCCAGGCAGAGACAGAAACGCACGCUGAACUCGACUUUUCCCUACGACCCCUCCCCCACCCCCAGGUGCUCUCGGCUGCAGCCAGGUGCCGCUUGCCGCCUUCCCGGGUCUGUACGCGACCCUUAGGGUGGCCCUCGACCAACCGACACCAAACAUCCCUCAAUCACUCAGCACCUAUUAAAGCAGAUACUUCCACAACAUUCCACCUCUCCUUUCACCCCUUUAAAGUGAAGGCUGUUCAGAGUUUCCCGGUUAAGUGUCCUUUGAAAGGUUUAAGGUCACCCCCUCCCCAACAAUCCACUGGACUCUGGAAACAGUGCACUCCCUAUGGAGGCCUUCUCCCACCAAAUCCCAAGUUUUGCCCAAGUUCCAGGCCUUCCUCUCGCACCUGUCACACUUCUCUAGCCAUGGAAUCAGUUCUUCCUGCUUUGAUUGAAAUACUUGAAGAGUGUGUAUGUGUGCAUGUGUAUUAUUUAAUACCUCCUCACUAUGAUUCUCAACAGUAAUCCAAUUUAGCCUGGUUUCGGAGGGCUGGUGAUCUUAAUCCAGUUAAUAGAAUCCACAAGAAAGAGAAUGUGUUAGGAUACUUUUUAAAAGAGAGAAAAGGGCCUUUUGAAUGCUUAUUUUAUCAGCUAGUGUGUUUCAUGUGUUUUAUCAAAUCAAAAGUGAAAAUGUAACUCUUACCGUUGGAGAUUGAAAAAAAAAGUUUCCAGUUUCACUUCUAAGAAGUCAUUUUGAAAACUGCAAACAUAACUAUUUUACCCACUAAAGAGCUAAAGUUGGGGGAAGGGAAGGACAAUAGAGAAGAAACAAAAAUAGUUGAGAGGAAAUUCUUUAUAUUGUUCUAAAUUCAAUUUUCUACAAUUUUGUAAUAAGGAGAAUGAGAACAAUAAUCUCCAACAUGAACUAAAUUUAACUAUAAAAAUAAUAAACUCUCCUAAAUCCUGGGUAAAACCAGAUUACACACGUUACAUACAUUACACAAGAAAGACUCACCAAAUUUCACCAAAGGCCAGAGAGAAAAAUAAUUCACUUUAAAUCUAGAAUCAGUUCAUAGAUUAUACUAUGAAAUGGAUGCAACAAGUUCUUAUAUUUUGAAACCACAUCAGGAAACCAACAGUAGUUCAAAAGCUGCCUUAUACCCAGUGGUUUGGCGUUUUAAAAAAUAUUUGCACUUAUACCCGACCUUGCUCAGAAAAAGAUUCCAAGUUGCUGUAGUUGGCACUUGGGUUAGAGAAUAGCUAUGAAGUAUCUCUCAGACACUAGCACAAGACAGACAGGUUUGCUUUCCUUAUCAUCCAUUUGUAGAUAACAAACCAUAGGAAGAAAAUACAUGUUGAGUAUUGCACUGAGUUCUUUCAGGGAUCCAGCAUGAUUUUGUUUUUACUAAUUCACAGAACAGUUCAUAAUCAUGAAUCUAAAUCUAAAACUAAAUGCUGAUAAUCAGGUUUGCCAAAAACAUAACAAAAGACUCUUAACCGGAUAAGGAAUUUAAUUUAGAAGUAGGUAUAUUUCCGAUUAAUAUGUUCACCUGUUAUCCCUUAAAUGAUUGCAGUAUUAAAAAGAAAAGCCAAAUUGAAAACAAAUGUGUAGAGAUAUGUAAUUAGUAUUAAUUUCCAGAAAGCACAGAUCACAGAAAAUUAAGAAUAACUGAUAGAAAUCAUUAUUGCCCUCAAAUGAAGCAAAUAUCAAGGCAAUAUUUAGCUAACCUAUUACUAACAGUGUAUCUGGCAUUAUCUUUAUUAAACCUGUUGAGAAUUAUGAAUGGUGAUAGUCACCGGGGUCAGAUAUUCUCAUUAGAUGGAGAAUGGGCAAAUUUUCUAAUGCUGCAACACCUAUGAAAGGCCUAUGUCAUGUUUGCUAUAUGCUCAGCACGUAUUUGUGUAUGGGGCAGUUGUGAGACUAACAUGUUUCUCAAUUAGUGAAUACCAUUUUUAAUGACUUGUUUGACAGAAACUAUACUUUCAUAUGCCAAUAUAAAUACAGAAGGGAAAGGGAACAUAGUUGUAGGAACAAUCAGAAAAAGAAUUUUGCAGUUUAGUUAGAUACGAGCACUAGCCCCUCUUUUCUCUACAAUGUAUGUGCACAGUCACGUCCGACUCUGGGACCCCAUGGACUGUAGCCCACCAGGUUCCUUCAUUGGGGUAGAUUCUUUACCACUGAGCCACCUGGGAAGCU
rnacentral:lncRNA from 1 species